rnacentral:rRNA from 1 species
AGUGAACGCUGGCGGUAGGCCUAACACAUGCAAGUCGAACGGCAGCACAGUAAGAGCUUGCUCUUACGGGUGGCGAGUGGCGGACGGGUGAGGAAUACAUCGGAAUCUACUUUUUCGUGGGGGAUAACGUAGGGAAACUUACGCUAAUGCCGCAUACGACCUACGGGUGAAAGCAGUGGAUCUUCUGACCUUGCGCGAUUGAAUGAGCCGAUGUCGGAUUAGCUAGUUGGCGGGGUAAAGGCCCACCAAGGCGACGAUCCGUAGCUGGUCUGAGAGGAUGAUCACCCACACUGGAACUGAGACACGGUCCAGACUCCUACGGGAGGCAGCAGUGGGGAAUAGUGGACAAUGGGCGCAAGCCUGCUCCAGCCAUACCGCGUGGGUGAAGAAGGCCUUCGGGUUGUAAAGCCCUUUUGUUGGGAAAGAACAGCAGCAGGUUAAUACCCCGCUGUUCUGACGGUACCCAAAGAAUAAGCACCGGCUAACUUCGUG